UACGUAGGGUGCAAGCGUUGUCCGGAACUAUUGGGCGUAAAGAGCUCGUAGGCGGUUUGUCGCGUCUGCUGUGAAAACUCGGGGCUUAACCCCGGGCCUGCAGUGGGUACGGGCAGACUAGAGUGCGGUAGGGGAGACUGGAAUUCCUGGUGUAGCGGUGAAAUGCGCAGAUAUCAGGAGGAACACCGGUGGCGAAGGCGGGUCUCUGGGCCGUAACUGACGCUGAGGAGCGAAAGCGUGGGGAGCGAACAGG
rnacentral:rRNA from 1 species